rnacentral:rRNA from 1 species
CCUACGGGAGGCAGCAGUGAGGAAUAUUGGUCAAUGGGCGUAAGCCUGAACCAGCCAAGUCGCGUGAGGGAUGAAGGUACUAUGGAUCGUAAACCUCUUUUAUAAGGGAAUAAAGUGUGGGACGUGUCCUGUUUUGUAUGUACCUUGUGAAUAAGGAUCGGCUAACUCCGUGCCAGCAGCCGCGGUAAUACGGAGGAUCCGAGCGUUAUCCGGAUUUAUUGGGUUUAAAGGGUGCGUAGGCGGCCUUUUAAGUCAGCGGUUAAAGUCUGGGGCUCAACCCUAGAAUUGCCGUUGAACCUGGGAGUCUUGAGUAGGUUUGAGGCAGGCGGAAUGCGUGGUGUAGCGGUGAAAUGCUUAGAUAUCGCGCAGAACCCCGAUUGCGAAGGCAGCCUGCCAGGCCAUGACUGACGCUGAUGCACGAAAGCGUGGGGAUCGAACAGGAUUAGAUACCCGUGUAGUC